rnacentral:tRNA from 1 species
GCCGGAGUGGUGAAACUGGUAGACGCACGGGAUUCAAAAUCCCGCGGGCCCUGGGUCCAUGUCGGUUCGAGUCCGACCUCCGGCA